rnacentral:rRNA from 1 species
AGACAUGCAAGUCGUGCGGUAGAAGGCUUCGGCCUUUGAGAGCGGCGGACGGGUGAGUAACACGUGGGAAUCUGCCUAUUAGUGGGGGACAGCCCAGCGAAAGCUGGAUUAAUACCGCAUACGCCCUACGGGGGAAAGCAGCAAUGCGCUAAUAGAUGAGCCCGCGUAAGAUUAGCUAGUUGGUAAGGUAAAGGCUUACCAAGGCGACGAUCUUUAGCUGGUCUGAGAGGAUGGCCAGCCACAUCGGGACUGAGACACGGCCCGGACUCCUACGGGAGGCAGCAGUCGGGAAUAUUGGACAAUGGGCGCAAGCCUGAUCCAGCAAUACCGCGUGUGUGAAGAAGGCCUGCGGGUUGUAAAGCACUUUCAGUUGGGAAGAUAAUGACGUUACCAACAGAAGAAGCACCGGCUAACUCCGUGCCAGCAGCCGCGGUAAUACGGAGGGUGCAAGCGUUAAUCGGAAUUACUGGGCGUAAAGCGUGCGUAGGCGGCCUGUUAAGUCAGAUGUGAAAGCCCCGGGCUUAACCUGGGAACUGCAUCUGAUACUGGGAGGCUAGAAUGUGGG